AGUAUUCGGGCUGCGCGCUCUCCUUCCUCUCUUUGGCUGCGGACGAGCUCCCAGGCGGUCGUGUAGUGCUGGACAUGAGGACACGUGGUGUGGAGGUUGCGGGGCGCAGCGCCUCAGAUGGGGGAGACCUGAAGAGUCAGACUAGGGCGAUAGGAUGAGAGGUCAGGCUGCAGAGCCGGGAGUGUCCGGAGCCUCCAUAUGGUGAGUGUAGAGCCAGGACGGAUCCCUGAGCCCCAUGACUGGGCCCUCCUAGGUGGAUGAUGGUGCCCUGCAGUGUACUGGGCGAGUAAUCCCUCAUAGCUAUGGCACUGCCCAGGCUCCAUAUUCCAGAUGCCACUUGAAGAUCUCAUUAAGAAGCAGUUGUAGAAGGUUGUCUGAAAGUCUGCAUGAUCAAUUUGGAAUACAAACAACUCCUUAGAAUGAAAUGUACAAGACAUCUGCUUCUAACUUAAAAAAAUGUCAUGUUUCAGAGUAUAUAUUUAAACUAUAUUGUAUUUAUAUACUUUUUUUUAUAUUAAAAUCUUAUACUGUAA